ensembl:miRNA
UGUUAUGUGUAUGUGUGAGCAGGCAUCUUCUCAGCCUACAUGUGGAUUCCUAAAUCUGCAGGCUGGUUAGAUGGUUGUCAUACAUUCAUCU